AGCAGCCGCGGUAAUUCCAGCUCCAAUAGCGUAUAUUAAAGUUGUUGCAGUUAAAAAGCUCGUAGUUGAACUUCGGGGUUUACCCAUUGGUCAGGCUUAAUUGUCUGUACUGGUGAGAUGAAUCUCUACCUUCUGAGGAACUUUCAUGCCAUUUAUUUGGUGUGAUGGGAAAUCAGGACUGUUACUUUGAAAAAAUUAGAGUGUUUAAAGCAGGCUAACGUCUGAAUACAUUAGCAUGGAAUAAUGAAAUAGGACGGACUGAUUCUAUUUCGUUGCUAUUUCGUUGGUUUCUAGGAUCACCGUAAUGAUUAAUAGGGAUAGUUGGGGGCAUUAGUAUUCAAUUGUCAGAGGUGAAAUUCUUGGAUUUAUUGAAGACUAACUACUGCGAAAGCAUUUGCCAAGGAUGUUUUCAUUAAUCAAGAACGAAAGUUAGGGGAUCGAAGACGAUCAGAUACCGUCGUAGUCUUAACCAUAAACUAUGCCGACUAGGGAUCGGACGAAGUUAAUUUUAUAAUGACGCGUUCGGCACCUUACG
rnacentral:rRNA from 1 species